AUAAAUUUCUAGGCGAAAAUUUUGGGUGUUUCAUGAACAGUCAACAGACUUGUUAUACUUGUACAAGGUGAGGUUAAUUUAUUAUCUUAUUUAAGCGAAAUCGGAAGGCAAAACGUGUAAAUACAACGUUUUAAUUCUCAACUUUUAAGCGCUUAGUCGACCGACCAUUUCGGGCGACAAAGCAUCGAUUUUACUCAAGACCGACGGAGGCUCAAGACAUUGUGUAUUUUUUGUGCAAUCCUUUCUUUUGCUUUCAUUCAUCAUUGCUUUCUGGUUUAAUUUCGUCAAGGGAACUGCUUGAAUAUACUGCUUGGGCAGCCAACGGCCUUGUGAAAAAAAUAUGUCGAAUUCGCUCGAUAGCAUUCGAGUCGCGAUUCGCGUCAGGUCUACCUCUCAAAAAGGUAUGUAUAAUUUAAUAUUUAAUCGAAGUUUAUGAAGCUUUAUUUCAAUUUGGUGUGACUAAGAUAGGAAUUUGUGAUUUUGUGUUAGAUCGAUUGUAGAACUAGAU